UACAGAGACCUCAAGCGUUAUCCGGAAUCAUUGGGCGUAGAGCGUACCGAUAGGUGGUUUUACAAGUCAGAAGUGAAAUCUCUCAGCUCAACUGGGAGACUGUCUUUUGAAACUGUAAAACUAGAGGGGCAAAGAGGAAGCUGGAACGAACGGUGUAGUAGUGAAAUGCGUUGAUAUCGUUCGGAACACCAAUAGCGUAGGCAGGCUUCUGGGUGCCACCUGACACUGCUAGGACGAAAGCGUGGGUAGCGAAUGGG
rnacentral:rRNA from 1 species